GUGAAAAAACACUGUCCACUCAUUCCAACCGCAUUACCCAAUUAACAUGUUGUUACGCGUGAAAAAAAUAGUUCUGUUAAAAAACUGUAAAGAUCACUUUAUUGCAGUUAUAUUUCUGUCGGAUUUACACAGCGUACACUAUCUAGCAUUGAUAAAGAAGACGGGUUUCCAAAAAGGUUCAUCAGGUUACUUAAUCAAACCUUGUUUUGACAAGAUCUCGUCACUGACAGACAGCCCCCGUGGUGCAUCGGCAGAUACAUGCAUUUCACAUUGAGAAGAGGAAACACGGAAAACCUGUCAAUUUUUUUAUGUGUCAUUUGACAAAAAUGCCAAAACCUAUAACAACAACAUAGACGGAAUGUACAGAAGUCUUGUUUGUUAGAGAAAAGCUACGAAAAGAAUGUAAACUUUGAAAAGUACGAUUGCUGUCACUGUGUCGGAAUGAAUGACCCGACUUGACCCAGAUAUGAGACAGCCGAAACCAGAAAUGACAAGAGAACCGGUUACAGUUUAAUCCGGACAACAAGUUUAAUGAACAUCGUGUGUGAUUUGAGACAAGUGUCAAUGAUGGGAAACACGUGCAUGUGGGAUUUCAGGAGGACUUGUCAAACGCGGAGUGGACAGUCAGAUGACGAGAGUUUGUUGAUAUUUUGAUGUGAAUGUUGUGAUUCAUAAUGGUCGAAUACCUGUUGAUAGACAAACACGGUAUCUGGCAUGGAGACUUGGUGCUAAGCUGUCCGCAUUCACGGAGUUCAUUUAGUUCAAUAUCGGACACAGGAUCAGCUUGCUGGGUUUUCGAUGUCAUCAUCGUUCACAAAGGCAAACCUGUCUAUACAAAGUCCAGUUUUUGGAUU